AAGUUAAAAGUGCUACAACCCUAAGGGGUAAAAACUAUGCCUAUCUGUGAUUGUCAUCUUGUUCAGUUAAUAAGAAAUAAUAACAACUAUAUCAUCUUGGGAAGUAACAGGAGUUGUAGUGACCACUUUCACCUUGACAGCAGAACACUAGGAUCUCCAGAGAUUAUUUUCUGAGAAAGGCAUAAUACCCAAAACUGAGUGUUACUUAAACUUUUCAAAAGAAAUAAUUUCAUAAUGAUAUGAACGUUGUAAGUCCAACAAAAUUCAGGAUGUAUCUUUCCUUUAAUUCUGAUUGUAGAAUGUGUAAAUUAGUAGAAUAAAGAGGGAUACAUUUUUCUCUUUGGUAUCACUUUAAUCUUUCAAACUUGUGUUUAUUUUUUCUUUUUCCCAGGGAGAGAAUACAGUGGGGAAGGGAGGUUUGGAAGGAGGGAGCAGACACAAUGAAACUGACAACCAUUCCAGAAAGAAUGUUUUUUAUGAUACAGGAGUCCAUCAGGGAUUCAACAGAGGGAGUACUGAUGGGGGUGGAACAUCAGGACUACAACUACCACAACAUGUUGUGUGUCCUGAGGAAGACGGUAUCUCUCAUCUGCUCCCACACUAACCAACAGAAGGACAUUCCAGGAACAUUUUGCUGUACCUUCUCUAGUUUGGUGAAGAAAAACAGAACACUAUCUGAGAACGUAUUUGUUGUUAUUUUUAUUGCGUUGUGGUUUUUGGCCCUUCACUGGGAGACGGAAGUAGAACCGAUGAGUAGAAAUUACAAGGAAAUAGAUUUAAAUUCCAGAAAAUAAGCAGUUUUCCAACCAUGAGAGCCAUUGUUGAGUAUCACCUGCUCUAGAAGGUAUUUCAUCAUUUGGAAGGAAAUUAAACAGAUGACUUACCGGUUACUUUUUGACUCUUAAUUCUAAGAUUCGAUGGCA
rnacentral:lncRNA from 10 species